ensembl:lncRNA
AGACAGUAGUUUUGGAAUUGUUAGUUAGAUUACUUGUUGGUUAUUACUGCAUUGUCGGAACUAGAAGCACAAGCAUUUCGCUACACUCGCAUUAACAUCUGCUAACCAUGUGUAUGUGACAAAUAAAAUUUGAUUUGAUUUGAUUUAGCACAACAGGCUAACACUCAGCUAGCACAAUAGGCUAACACUCAGCUAGCACAACAGGCUAACACUCAGCUAGCACAACAGGCUAACACUCAGCCAGCACAACAGGAUAACACUCAGCUUGUGAAACAGGCUAAAACUCAACUAGCACAACAGGCUAACACUCAGCUAUGUACAACAGGCUAACACUCAGCUAGCGCAACAGGAUAACACUCAGCUUGUGCAACAGGCUAACACUCAGCUUGUGCAACAGGCUAACACUCAGCUAGCGCAACAGGAUAACACUCAGCUUGUGCAACAGGCUAACACUCGACUAGCACAACAGGCUAACUCUCAACUAGCACAACAGGCUAACACACAGACAUUUGACACCUCGCCCUCAACCCCACCACACGCCUUCCCCCAGCUCCACACCCAGAGAGACAGAGCUACAGUCCUGCACUGAAAGAGACAGACCAGAGGAACAGCUGAGACCAGACCAGCUGGGACCAUCAGAACUACUGUCCUCCAGCUGGGACCAUCAGAACUACUGUCCUCCAGCUGGGACCAUCAGAACUACUGUCCUCCAGCUGGGACCAUCAGAACUACUGUCCUCCAGCUGGGACCAUCAGAACUACUGUCCUCCAGCUGGGACCAUCAGAACUACUGUCCUCCAGUGAGACCAUCAGAACUACUGUCCUCCAGCUGUGACCAUCAGAACUACUGUCCUCCAGUGAGACCAUCAGAACUACUGUCCUCCAGCUGGGACCAUCAGAACUACUGUCCUCCAGCUGGGACCAUCAGACUUACUGUCCUCCAGCUGAGACCAUCAGAACUACUGUCCUCCAGCUGGGACCAUCAGAACUACUGUCCUCCAGCUGUGACCAUCAGAACUACUGUCCUCCAGCUGGGACCAUCAGAACUACUGUCCUCCACUGAGACCAUCAGAACUACUGUCCUCCAGUGAGACCAUCAGAACUACUGUCCUCCAGCUGAGACCAGCAGAACUACUGUCCUCCACUGAGACCAGCAGAACUACUGUCCUCCAGUGAGACCAUCAGAACUACUGUCCUCCAGCUGAGACCAUCACAACUACUCUCCUCCAGCUGGGACCAUCAGAACUACUGUCCUCCAGCUGGGACCAUCAGAACUACUGUCCUCCAGCUGUGACCAUCAGAACUACUGUCCUCCAGCUGGGACCAUCAGAACUACUGUCCUCCAGCUGGGACCAUCAGAACUACUGUCCUCCAGCUGAGACCAUCAGAACUACUGUCCUCCAGCUGGGACCAUCAGAACUACUGUCCUCCAGCUGGGACCAUCAGAACUACUGUCCUCCAGUGAGACCAUCAGAACUACUGUCCUCCAGUGAGACCAUCAGAACUACUGUCCUCUAGUGAGACCAUCAGAACUACUGUCCUCCAGCUGAGACCAGCAGACCUGCUGUCCUCCAGUGAGACCAGUAGAACUACUGUCCUCCAGCUGAGACCAGCAGACCUGCUGUCCUCCAGUAUUCACACAGACAGUAUUAAGACUAAUUUCAAAGCCAUCGGUUCCAGCUAAACGACGUCUGCUCCCGUCCGCACUGACACCUUUCGAAGGGGAAGUUUUGGAGGACGGGAUGCGGAACUCUUGUAAAGGUGGAAACGAGGCAUUGCCAGAGAGCCUAGAGACUGGUGUUUUACUGUUAAACAUUUAUAACCCCCCAGUCUACAUUUACCCAUCACCACCACCAGCCCAUAGAGACCCCCCAGUCUCCAGUU